GUUCAAACACCAGUUCCCAUACAAUCAUGAAAGUUAAGCAAUGUCAAACCUGGUCAGUACUGAGAUGGGUGACCACUUGGAAAUACCAGGUGCU